UAUGAUCCAGAGUACCACGGGACACUUGAAAACCUGUGGAAAGCAGAAAGGACCACCCUCCAAGGAUAAAUACUAACUAAUGAACGAUAGCGAAUAGUCCCUUGAGGGAAAAGUGAAAACAACCCAGGGAAGAGAUUGAAAUAGAGCCUAACACCCUGCACUUACAAGCUGUGGAAGCACAUUUCUUGUGUGACCGCGUACUUUUUGUAGAACGGGCCAACGAGUUACGUUAAGUAGCCAGGUUAAGCACUUAAGGUGCGGAGCCGUAGCGAAAGCGGGUUGUAACGGAGCGUUAAGUUACGUGACGGAGACUCGAAACCGGGAGACCGACCCUAUAGCAGGAUGAAGCGAAAGUAAAAUUUCGUGUAGGUCCGAACCCACGAGCGUUGAAAAGCUCGGGGAGGACUUGUGGGUAGCGGUGAAAUUCAAAUCGAGCCCGGAGAUAGCUGGUGCUCCCCGAAAUAGCUUUAGGGCUAGCCUCAAGGUGAGAGAUACGGA
rnacentral:rRNA from 1 species